GUGUGUGUUGGUUUUUGUGGUUUACAAGGACUUUUGACCUGAAUACGCACCAGCAUUACAGGGACAUUUGGGUUUAUGAGGACAGGGCCCAUGUCCUUAUAAUUCCGACAGUGUAUAUGCCUUUCUCUAUGUCCCAGAAGCUCCCUCUCAAAUUUUCGCGCCAUGUCCUAAUAUACCACAAAACCCUGAAAUUUUACUAUACACUGUGUAUCCUCCGAACUCGGGAGUGCGCCCCUGCAGCCCGGACCCGGUACUGCAUCCGCGUCAUCGAAAAUUUGCAUAUUUUACACUUGUGUAAGUUUGGAGGCCGCUGAUUGGCUAGAUCGGCACCGGAGGGCGGGAAAUCGCGAAAACAAAAUGGCGGCGGUGGGCGGGGCUACAUUCUGCCGCUAAUAGCUCCGUACAACGAGGCAAGGGUGUCGGUUUGUAACUUCCUGUUUGGACCGGACGCAAUCUGUGCACCUGAAGUGAAGACAUCUGCGGUGUGAAGCUGUUGGAGACAACUAUUAUAUGAAAGACACAGAGGAUGGCUGAAGGUGCGAGGCGAAGGAGAAAGCUGAGGCCAUACAGUGUUCACUUCAACAGAAAGACCAGAAUGGGCUCAAGGGCAGGUUCAUCACUGAUCUUAAAGGUGACUCUGAAGAAGGACCGGUUACUAUUGGAUGAUCAGGACUGUGUUGAGUAGAUGUCACCUGUCAAAGAGCAUGUGUUGAAUGAGGAGCAGAGCUUUUUUGUCCCCGCUGAAGGAGUUAAGGAGAUGAGAUCAACAUGACAGAUUCUGAUGACGCUGAUCCUGAAGAAAGUGAUUCUGAUGAUGAGGCUCUUGCUGGAGCUGCGGGAGACUCCAGUAAUGCUGGUGUUCAGAAGAUGCCCAUUGAGAGCACCACUGAAGUUCCUGAAGAGAGUGAGAGUGAGGCAGAAACUGAAAACACACGGAGAGGGCAGAAAGUGUCCUGGUCAAACACUGAAGUUACAGCUGUAAUCAAACAUUUUAAGGACCACAGAGCUAAAGGAAAACUGGCCACAAUGACUGAAAACCAGCAGUGUAAAACUGCUGAGGAUCCUGUUUUGGUGAGAUGCAGUGCACAGAACAUACAGGAUUUUGUAAGAAAUCGAGGAAUUAUCUUAAAAAGGAAAACCCAAAGCAAGUGAUGUUACAGUACAUCCUGUGUCUUGAUGCCAUUCUAUUAUCAUGAGCACUUUGGUUGUUGUUUUUAUUUCCAAUAGUGCAAAACUGUUAUAGCAGCAGUUCAUACAAAUAUCUCCAUGUAGAAAACAAGUUCAAUUGUUAGUUUGUCAAAAACUUUUCAUUCUGGAAGUGAACGAUUCCUUUACAGAUAAAUCAGUUUCUCUACACAUCUGCAGCAUGUAUUGUGUGCUCAGAGUUAAUCACAUGUUUACUUUUUCAUUCUGGAAGUGAACCAUUCCUUUAAGGAUAAAUCAGUUGCUCUACACAUCUGCAGCAUCUAUUGUGUGCUCCGAGUUAAUCUCAUGUUUACUGUGUGUUUAGUAGGGAUGCACUGAUCAUGAUUUUUCAUAGACGAUACCGAUAUUUAUUUAUUUUUACAAGCAAACUGGCCGAUUCCAAUACAGAUUUCCGAUUAUUAUUAUUAUUAUAUUAUUUUUUUUAAACAACAAACAAGAAAGGAAAGUAUGCAUAAACAAGAUGUUUAUUUGGUAUUUAAUAGGCCAAACUGGCUUUUGGCUAUUGAAAACAAUAACUGUAACCAUCUGAAAUUAAUGGCAAUAACUGCACAGUAAGUAGCCUACAUUCAAUACAAACAUAGAUGCUACAGACAUCAGCAUUUAGCUUUUGUUUUUGGAUUGGGUUGAAACUACAUAGAACUGGCCUUAAAUUAAAAGAUUAACUGUAACCAUGUGAAAUUAAAGGCAAUAACUGCAUAGUUCUACAGUCCAAACAACACAAUCAACACACAUUCAAUAAGAGGUUUCUUAAUCAGCAUAUAGUAUUUUAGUUUUAAAAUUUGGUUUUAAAUUUAAAACAAGGUCUUUACCAAUGAGACUAAAUAAAAGUAUGCUAUAUAAAUAUUAUUCCAAAAUGUUAAAAUCAAAUAAUGUUGGUGCGAAUAAAGCACAGAUGCAAAGUGGUUCAUUCAUCCAAUUAAAAAAAUAAAUAAAAUAGGGUAAUGAUUCACAUCUAUAUAUAUUUUUUUUACUUGAGCCAAUGAAAAAUAAAGAACUAUUCUCAAGUUAAAAAAUAAAAUUGUGAAUCAUUACCCAAAAAUAUUUUAAUUGGAUGAAUGAAACCCUUUUUUCAGUGUGCUUCAGCAGGUGAUUUUUAAAUCAAAUUAAGUCAAUGUAAUUUUAAGGAAAAAGGAAAAUAAUCCUAUACAGAACUGACGUUUACUUCUGACUUUUCAAACGUGUAUGCAAGUUCUACUUUACAAAAAAAAACAUUUCAGUUUUGUCACAGUUUAAUCUGUGUCGUUUCUCAUCCAGCUCGCAAGAAGUUGAUCCUUCACUGUCUUCGCUUGUGCAGGGCACGGAAAGGUACGAUACGCUCGAGCAGCUUCAGUGAGCACAGGAAAGGCUUUUAUUUGUGCAGCAGUACACCAGCGGCUGUUCGCUUCCUGCUGUCUAUUCCUCAGAUGUGUAGCUCGUGUUGCCCGUGUCCAGCACACAGAUUUUGAAAUACUUCCACACAAAUGACAUGAUAGCGAAUGAUUACAAUGUAGUCUGUGCACGCGGGCGCACUUACGGAAAAAUCGGCCGAUCGUGUAUUUUAAGCAAAAACCGUCCGGUUCCGAUUUAUGGCCGGUCAACGGUGCAUCCCUAACAUUUAGUGAGGUACUUACAACAUGAGGCAUGGCUUUUGAUUUAUAGUUUUUUUUUAAGUUGGUAAAUUAGACUUAAUUAUUUGUUGUUUGUUUUGAUUUGUGUGGCAUUCCUUUUUUUAUAGAAAGAUUACCCAUUUUAAUAAUUGGCGAAUUUUACGUUUUUUGUUUAUUUGUUUUUAUGUCACAAAUUUAAGUCAUUAUUAAAGUACUUCUAAAACA